GUUUGAUCCUGGCUCAGGACGAACGCUGGCGGCGUGCCUAACACAUGCAAGUCGAGCGGAAUAUACCGGUUUAGUUUACUAAGCUGGUAAAUUCAGCGGCGGACGGGUGAGUAACGCGUGAGCAAUCUGCCUUGUACAGGGGGAUAACAGCCGGAAACGGCUGCUAAUACCGCAUAAGGCCACAGUACCGCAUGGUACAGGGGUCAAAGGAGAGAUCCGGUAUAAGAUGAGCUCGCGUUCCAUUAGCUGGUUGGUGAGGUAACGGCCCACCAAGGCAACGAUGGGUAGCCGGCCUGAGAGGGUGAACGGCCACAUUGGGACUGAGACACGGCCCAAACUCCUACGGGAGGCAGCAGUGGGGGAUAUUGCGCAAUGGGGGAAACCCUGACGCAGCAACGCCGCGUGAGUGAAGGAGGCCUUCGGGUCGUAAAACUCUGUGACAGGGGAAGAAGAAAAGUGACGGUACCCUGAGAGGAAGCCCCGGCUAACUACGUGCCAGCAGCCGCGGUAACACGUAGGGGGCAAGCGUUGUCCGGAAAUUACUGGGCGUAAAGGGUGCGUAGGCGGCCGAGCAAGUCCGAUGUGAAAGACCACGGCUAAACUGUGGGGGUGCAUAGGAAACUGUCCGGCUUGAGUGCAGGAGAGGAAAGUGGAAUUCCUAGUGUAGCGGUGAAAUGCGUAGAGAUUAGGAAGAACACCAGUGGCGAAGGCGACUUUCUGGACUGUAACUGACGCUGAGGCACGAAAGCGUGGGGAGCGAACAGGAUUAGAUACCCUGGUAGUCCACGCCGUAAACGAUGGAUACUAGGUGUAGGGGGUAUCGACCCCCCCUGUGCCGGAGUUAACGCAAUAAGUAUCCCGCCUGGGGAGUACGGCCGCAAGGUUGAAACUCAAAGGAAUUGACGGGGGCCCGCACAAGCAGCGGAGCAUGUGGUUUAAUUCGAAGCAACGCGAAGAACCUUACCAGGGCUUGACAUCCCUUCCGACGGGCAUAGAGAUAUGCCGUUUCAGCAAUGGACGGGGGAGACAGGUGGGUGCAUGUUGUCGCAGCUCGUGUCGUGAGAUUGUUGGGUUAAGUCCCGCAACGAGCGGCAACCUUAUCAACAGUUACCAGCAAGUAAAGUUGGGGACUCUGAAGAGACUGCCGGGGAGAACUCGGAGGAAGGUGGGGAUGACGUCAAAUCAUCAUGCCCCUUAUGUCCUGGGCUACACACGUGCUACAAUGGCCUGAAACAAAGGGAAGCGAAGGCGCAAGCCGGAGCGGAACCCAGAAAGCAGGUCUCAGUUCGGGUUGUGGGCUGCAACCCGCCCACAUGAAGUCGGAGUUGCUAGUAAUCGCGAAUCAGCAUGUCGCGGUGAAUGCGUUCCCGGGCCUUGUACACACCGCCCGUCAC
rnacentral:rRNA from 1 species